GACGAACGCUGGCGGCGUGCUUAACACAUGCAAGUCGAACGGAAAGGCCCUGCUUUUGUGGGGUGCUCGAGUGGCGAACGGGUGAGUAACACGUGAGUAACCUGCCCUUGACUUUGGGAUAACUUCAGGAAACUGGGGCUAAUACCGGAUAGGAGCUCCUGCUGCAUGGUGGGGGUUGGAAAGUUUCGGCGGUUGGGGCUGGACUCGCGGCUUGUCAGCUUGCUGGUGGGGUAGUGGCUUACCACGGCUUUGACGGGUAGCCGGCCUGAGAGGGUGGCCGGCGACAUUGGGACUGAGGUGCGGCCGAGACUCCUACGGGAGGCAGCAGGGGGGAAUAGUGCACAAUGGGGGGAAGCCUGAUGCAGCAACGCCGCGUGCGGGAUGACGGCCUUCGGGUUGUAAACCGCUUUCGCCUGUGACGAAGCGUGAGUGACGGUAAUGGGUAAAGAAGCACCGGCUAACUACGUG
rnacentral:rRNA from 1 species